rnacentral:lncRNA from 1 species
CCCGAGCGGCCCCGACCCCUGCCCGCGCCCCCUCCCUGCCAGGCCACACGCUGAGUUCCAGAUCCGGCACUGCUGCCUAGCCUGGGGGCUGUAGCUCAGUCAGCUCAGCCAGCCUGGGCCUCAGUGUCCCCACCGGAAUGUGGGCCCAGAGACCCUGGGCACGUUGGGAGGGCCUGAGGGGCCGGGGACAGCACUGCCAGAAGGCAGGCCGGUGUGAUCGGGUCAGAGGACCGGACCAGCCCAGCCCCGGCCCCAGCCUCCUGCUUUGCUGACGCUCCACACGGCUGCUGCAGGCCCUUGGUUGGGCACACCCGUUCCUGGCCCCCAGCUUGCGAACGGUCUAGGUUUGCUUUUCUCCUCAGUCCACGCGCUGCCUGUGACCACUGUGUGACCCUAACCAAGGCCCUUGACCUCUCUGAGCCCAACCUCCUCAUCUCUUGGAGGGUCAACCCCAAGCCGUUGAUGGGGAGCCGUGGAGAGCCCCAUGUCAUGCCCUCAGCACCAAGCCCAUCAGGCGGGGACACGGCAAGCUGCAGGCUCCAAACGUUCCUCACCAGCCUCUGAGGCCCACGCAGGGAGGCGGCCUGGGGCCAGAGGCACUGGGCCCUCCCUCACUGGAGCCUGGGCAGCUCCCUGCCCUCUGACGCUGCUCCCUUCCCGGCUGCGGGUCAGGAGGAGAGGCAGCGAGCAACCGAGGUUUGGCCUCACCUUGCAGCCCGCUGAGCCCCGGGCCUGGCCAGCUUUCCCUGAGAUAAAGUGGAGAUAUUUCGCAGUCCUCUGUUAUCUGAGCCGGAGAUGCGGCCGAGGCGCCGUCCCCUCGGAGCCCUGCCAGGGCUAUUAUCGCAGACAGAGUGCACAUCACCCCCCAGGAAUUUGGGGCCCUGGGCCUGGCCAAGACGGGGUUGGAGGAAGUUCCAGGCCGAUAAGGCCGAUUCAGAACGCUCAGAGGGCAGUGGAGUUACUCCCAUCAGCUACAGUCUCACCAGCCCCCCGGGCACCCUGACGCCAGGGCUGGCGCAGGAACUCACCUGCACCACCUGGCCAGCCCGGAUGGGUGGGGCGGGGAAGGCUCGCUGGGCUUCUGGGUCUGCGUCCUCGCUGGGUGGCCUCGGGGAGGUCACUGCGCCUCUCCUGGCAUCUGAGAAUAAAAGUAACAAUAAUAAUACUCA